CUCUGGCUGUGGCAUUGUAUACUGCAGGAUGAGGGAGGUCUGUGACCAAUUGGCUAUUGAGCUGAGCUACAGAGGAGUGAAAGCCAAGGCCUAUCAUGCAGGGCUGAAGGCAGCAGACAGAACUUCGAUUCAGAAUGAGUGGAUGGAGGACAAGGUCCCUGUUAUUGUUGCUACCAUCAGUUUUGGAAUGGGAGUCGACAAAGCCAAUGUCAGAGGUUUCCCUGGAGGGUUGGCGACUGGCAUCAAAUAGACAAAUUUUGAGCAGUGGAGAGGAAAAGGCAUUCUUAGCUGCUGUUUAAAACUAUGCUUAAUUCCUGACUAACUCAAACUGCUGACAGACUCUUUGAAGAAAAUUUGUCUUUGUGAAAGAUUCAACACACCUGCCCCUUCAGCUAAGGGCCAAGAGAGCUCAAAUUAUUUUAGUCCUCUAGCAAAAACUGGGAAGACAAGACUUGAUAUUCCUGAUAUU